AUGGUGGUAGUAUAACCAUGUACAAUUGCCUUCCAAGCAGAAAGUCCUAAGGGCCAUCAUA
rnacentral:tRNA from 1 species